GUUUUAUGCUACUGCUUUCCACCCACUCUUCUUUUUUGUGUGAUUGCUGCAGUUCAGGUUGUGAAGUGGAUACUUUGAUCAUUGAGUAAAGACAGGUGAGACCAAGGGCUAUGACCGGAGCAUUAGUGUGUUAUGAAGGAUAGGUAGUUUUCCAAUAUGAAAGAUGUAAAUGCAGUAAAUAAAAGGUAAUUAAUUUGGGGCGACAGCAUUUUACAGCUAUUCAUAAAGACAAAAUAGAGCCUGCCUGGAUGUAAUGCGUGGCUAUGCAGUGCUACUGUCGGUCAGAGGAAGGGGAGCAUUGUUCUGCCCAUGCUAACGACUCUGCUCCUUUUAAUUACUGGUUAAAAUUAUACCUCUUAAUACGUGGAUGCAAAUGGCCAUGCAGAGGAGUGGUGAAUGGCAGUGCGUUGAUGUGGGGUUCGGGCCGUGCAGCCUGGUCACGAGCAGUGCUGUGUAACUGGCUGCAGGAAAUGCUUCUCUUUGAUGAUAGUGUAAUGGCUUGAGCUGUGAAGAAGAGGAAAGCGUUAAGGCUCCGGGAGUCACAAGUUUGCAUGCAGAUCGUGUGGCACCUGCUGCAGUUACCUAAUGGCCUCCGCUGAGAAAGGAGCGCUGUGUGGCUGUGGAAGCUGCAGCAGGUGGCAUGGGGCUGGUCGCUGCUGGAGCCUGGUUUGAGAAGCACAGGUGCAUUGCUCUGUGCUUCUGCUGCUAGGAACUUCUGGGCCUGAUGCUUUUGGCUCUGUGGCCUCUUUGGAAAGGUGUGGACAACUGGUUUUAGUUCAGGGGAAGCCAGACACUGUGCUCUCGAUGUAACUUAACGUGACAUUGAGAAUUCCUCCUGCUUGUUGUUUUCGGGAGACCUGACCCUCAGCUUUGGAGAUGUUCUGUCAACGUCAGCCUUGGCCUACAAGCAUGUCCUAGUGUGUACACCAGCAGUAGUUUUCAAAGCAGACAUGCUGAAAAUAGCUGUGAAUGCAUUCAUGGUUGGGUUGCAGAUGUUGGUAGGAACUAGAAAUUUACCUGUAAAGUAAACCUGGUUUUAACAGUUGCCUUCAUAGGACUGGUAAACUGGACUGAGUGAGUGAACCUUGACAGGCUCGUGCCUGUUGAGUGUCUCCGAAUCAAAGAUUGCAGAGAGCGAGCGUGACAGCCAGUAUGCAAAGGGAGGGGAGGCCUUUCUGGAGGUAAACCACUGAGCUGAAGGAAUCCUGUGAACUGGAUCCCGUGCGUGUCUGUGUGUCCCUGCUCUUCCUUUUACUUACGAGGCAAUAACUUUAGGUUCUUCUGCUUUUGAGGUAGAGGCUAAGUCUGGAUUUGAAGUAACCUGGUGUAUGUGGCGUGAGCGUCUGAAUGGGAACUUGGGCUCGACAGAGCAAGCGGCGUGUGCUGAACGCCUGGUUUCUGUGCCGGUUAUUUCUGCCAAGCUGAGAAAGGAGCUAAAGAUCUGGUUGAGAAUAAGACUCAGAUUCUGAAGUGUUUGAGGAACUUGCUACUGCCCAAGUCAUGACACUCCCAUUUCGAAAGGACUUGGACAAAUACAAAGAUCUUGAUGAGGAUGAAAUUCUUGGCAAACUGUCAGAAGAAGAACUGAAACAACUGGAAACAGUUUUGGAUGAUCUUGACCCAGAGAAUGCACUUCUUCCCGCGGGCUUCCGACAGAAAGACCAGACUGCUAAAAAGGCUUCAGGUCCUUUCGACAGAGAACGACUCCUUGCCUAUUUGGAGAAGCAGGCUCUUGAGCACAAAGACAGGGAAGACUAUGUGCCUUUUACAAAAGAAAAGAAAGGGAAAAUAUUUAUCCCCAAGCAAAAGCCUGUACAGUCAUUUACAGAAGAAAAAAUUGCUCUUGAUCCAGAACUGGAGGAAGCCUUGACUAGUGCCACAGACACAGAACUAUGUGACCUUGCAGCUAUACUAGGAAUGUCCAACUUGAUAACAAACAAUCAGUUCUGUGAUGUAGUAGGAAGCAGUAAUGGGGUAGACAAAGACAGCUUCUCAAAUAUAGUAAAAGGUGAAAAAAUGUUACCUGUUUUUGAUGAACCGCCAAAUCCCACAAACGUAGAGGAGACUUUGCAAAGGAUUAAAGAUAAUGAUUCCCGUCUUGUUGAAGUUAAUCUAAAUAAUAUUAAGAACAUACCAAUUCCAACGCUGAAAGAAUUUGCAAAAGCCCUAGAAACCAACACGCAUGUGAAGAAUUUUAGCCUUGCGGCCACCCGAAGCAAUGAUCCUGUUGCUGUUGCUCUUGCAGAUAUGCUUAGAGUAAACACGAAAUUAAAAAGUUUAAACAUAGAAUCAAACUUCAUCACUGGAGUUGGAAUUUUGGCACUGGUUGAUGCACUGAAAGACAAUGAAACAUUGACAGAGAUCAAAAUUGAUAAUCAGAGGCAGCAGUUGGGCACGCUUGCAGAAGUAGAAAUUGCCAAAAUGCUUGAAGAAAACACCAAGAUCCUUAAAUUUGGAUACCAUUUCACACAACAGGGACCUCGAGCCAGGGCAGCUGCAGCUAUAACAAAAAACAAUGAUUUGGUCUGGAGUAUACGAGUAAAAGUUUCUGCAAAUACCUUUUCGUCUCUCCAGCCCUGAAGCUACAGAGACAGGUUACUCUGAGUACCCAGUUGGGUAUCAAGCACUGAAAACUGAGAUGUUCAAAGCCUCUCAUUUCUGUCUUUUUCGCAAGAGAAGGGUUGAAGGAGACAGCCAGUAGAUCUUGUUGUUAAAACUACAUGGAGAUUUCAAGGGUCUUCAAGGUGUGCUCCUCACUGUGGGCUUUGGCAAUCUUGGACUACAUUUACCUAGGUUAGAAGGGAAAAGACUGGAAACCCCAUUCCUUUUAAAGCAAAGCUAUAUUAAAAAUCUGCUGGUAUAUACCACACUUUUCAGAUUGACACAUUGUAACUGCGCCAGUCUCUGUACCAUAGUUUUUUGUUGUUGUUGUUUUUUUAAGAUUUUUUUUUUGUAUUUCAGGACCUUGGCUGUGCUUUCUACUAAAAAUGUAAUCACAAAUCAGUGGUAUAGUUGUCUGCAGCCAAAGAAUGGGAUAUUGAAGAUCAUUGGGCAGAUAAUGACCCAAUUGAAAUGGUUGUCAGAAAAUCUAGGGGUGCUUGUUUACAUGGAGGGGUGUGUAUAUUCUUGAGAACAAUGCUUUAGUAGUGAGGGAUUCAUCACACAAUAGUUGGACUCAUUGUGUAGAGCUGUUCAUCCUUCUUCAUAUGCACUGAAGAGAAAUCUUUCACAACUUUUAUUUGUGAUUCUUUUUUAUUUUUGGUUCAUUCUUGGUACUGUGAUUAAGUGUAAACAUCCCUUAAAAGCAAGCAAAAAUAAAUUGCCUAAAGACCUUUUUCCCAAGAGAAUUUGAGGGACUGAUUUAAAAAAAAAAAAAGAGGAAAAAAUGGGAGCCUUGCCAAAAAAGUAGAAGCCUUGCAAAGUGAGGUUUCUUAUUAGACAUAAGUCCUAAAGGUCUCUUUAAAAAAUGUCCCAUAACUUUAUCUUUCUCUGUAUCUAAACUGGAUAUGUUUUUAGACUGCUAUCAUGUGCUCAUCAGCAUUUAGUUUAUAUUCUUUGUUUAAAAAUCCUUAUCUACAUGUGUAACUAGUAUGAACUUCUCUAGAAGUAGUGGAUAUGCAUUUGUUAAGUUCUGCAUAAUUUUGUAUGGGGAAAAGCAACCUUACCAGUAAAAUCAGUCGUAAGUUGCUGGCAAAUGGGGAAAUCCUUUUUUCAAGCUUUUACAUUAAAAUAUUAGUGCUUCAUAGAAAUCUGUCAUUUUUUAUGAAACAAUGAAGCAACACUUUCAAGAAAGGAUCUUUCUAUUCUACUUACGUCUUGAUGUUGAAAUGUGACAUAAGACUUGCAGAAAUUAACCAAUAUGCAGUGUCAUAUUUGUAUGUCAUAGUACUUAUUCAAGUAUUUCAAGUUUUAUAUCUAAGCAAACUAAUAAGGCCACAAGAAUUGCUUCAAUUUCUGUGCAUAAUCACAGCAGACUUCUCUGAAAUAACAAAAAUCUGGACUUCUUGGUGUGGGUCUGUGUGGACUGUAUUGUACUAGAUUACUCAAUGCUGUCAUGAGAUUAUAAACUCACAACUAAAGGACUGAUCGGCUAUAUUUAUAGCAAAGAGAGUUCAACUGACAACUGUUUUUCAUCAAAGGAUCAUAAUAUGGUGAGCAUUUUAUAUAUAGGAAAUGUAUAGGACUGAGAUAUUUUGCAUCGGAUUAUGUACUAUAAAAAUUCAACAGAGCAAUCCUCUGAAGCUGUGCCCAUGUUAUAAUUUGCUGCAACUCAUAUUUUGGAUUUUAAAGACAGACUUUAUUCUGGAGGUGACUUCCACUCGUAUUGCAACUGUACAGAGAAUUCUAAACUACAGUGCCUUCAAUGAGUAUGUAUAUAACUGGUUUAUAAUUAUGGAAUGACAUUUUUCCCUGUUUCAAAAUUGGCCUUUUAUUGACUAAUUACAAAUAAAGGUGUGCUCUGAAAAGACAUUUGGAAUUAAUUGUAUUAGAACCAAAGACUUUACAUUACUAUAAGCUUGAAGCAACUAGAAACGAUCUGACAAGUAACAAUAAAAAGGGCUUCUUCUGGUUUGGGCUUUUAUAAAUUGUCAAGAACUUCUUAGAUUUUUUGAAAUUUAAGUACCUCUAUAGUAUGGGUAUCUUUGCAAGCUAAAUAUCUUUUACAGAUAGAGCUGGCCAAAGCAUGUCAUGUGCUGAGUUGCCUAACGUUGUACUGUACUGUACUUUUUAUUUGCUAGGCACCAUAAUAAUUUUGUGUCAAAAACCAGACUGUAAUGUUUUCCUUCAUUUGUUGAAGGGUUACAUGUUCAUGAAAUCUGUUCGCUUGUGAUUUUAUGGAGACUUAUCUUACUAUUAUCAAACAAAGUUAUGUAAUUAUCUCCUGUUUGAAGAUGAAGGAGAAAAAAUGAAAGGCUGGAUUAUGGAAAUAAUAGACAAAAUCUCUUCCUUAUUUCUUUAUAGAAUUAAAUUUAGCUGCUUGAUGGUUUAUAUUCCCGUCAAAGACAGGCUUUAAAGUUGCAACUCUCUGGUGCCCUGUCACAGAAAAAAGUAGAGCACCUCUCUUAAUUGGUUUAGCUCUACAGACAGCAGCAAAGUAUUCCACUGCUUGUCAGAGCUUUCAGGAUAGACAGAAUGGGCAUAGAUUCUUUUUUUCUCUUUAAUCAGAAGAGUUUGGCCCUCCAAAUUGUUGAAGGACACCUGGUGUGGUGCAUGGAACAGUUACAAGUCACUUUUCUGCCUACAACGUAUAACCUUUCUGGAAUAAAUGAAGGAAUUCAGUCUGUAGCCAGGAGUCGUCAACAGUCUAAACUUGAAUCUUGUGAUUUAAUGGUUUCAGAUGUAGUGGGAUGUUAUACACGACUUUGUUUCGAAGUGUAGAAGUGGUAUUACUCUGAUAGCUAGAUACUGUUAACACAAGGUCUUCUUUCAGAAGAGGUGGUACAUUUUCUUCUAGAUUCUUUUCCAGGUUUAAUGCAGAAGUCAAAUGACCACAUAUUGUUGAUUCUGUUGGCUCCAAUCUAAGCAUGGAAACACAUACUAUAUUCUAAAACAGUUAUAUAUUUACUGUUGUAUGUUAAAGAUGUACUGUUAUUCAAGCUGUAAAAAAAAACUAGGCUGUUUGUAAGCUACAAACGAGCAUGUGUUCAAUUUAAAUUUCCAUUGAGGAAAUAUGAAUUGAGUGUUUUUAGCUUAUCAGCACUAUAUGCUGUCAGACUGUAAAACAGUAAACUUGUUGAAUGAUUAAA